UUCUCUUAAAAUCUUAUGGAGGAAAAUCUAAGACGUGUAUAAGUGUCACCUGUUGGAGCAGCAGUUGUUUACUUCAGGCCUCCCUGCCACUGUUACCACACCUCUCUCUCACUCUUACCAUAAUUAUACUAAUAGGUGUUAAGAACAAAUUUAAAACAUCAUUGAUUUUUCGGAAUAAAUUACGAUUUAAUUAAAUAUUAGUAAAAGAAGGAAAACAAUUAGUUUAGUGGCAAAUUUUGUUUGGGAUGUUUAUGGACGGUUGUGUUGUGGUAAUACUUGUACUGAGAUUGUGUCAGAGGUCUAGAACUUCCGAGUUACACAAGGUUAGUUUUGGAGUAAUUACCCACCAGACACCGGCUGACAAGUUAGACUGAAUACAGGAUGAUAUUGAAAGUUUGGAGAUGGACGAGACAACCACAGAAGGGGCCUCCAAAGGAGGAAGUAACCCUCAAGACUGUAGAGCUGACCUGCGUGAAAGGUUCUUGUGGGCAGUAUCAUCCCUAAUUGGGAGAGAUACUACUAUAACUAUGCAUGAAAACAUAGAUGUAAGUGGUGUGUUUCGUGGCAUAGACAAGGAUGUUUUAAGCUGUCAAAUUCAGAAUCUUGUGACACCUGCUAUAGUUUACCCUUGGGCUAUGAUUAGGGUACCUGAUUGUUUCAGCUUUAGGUUCAAAUUAUAAUGGUUGUAUAAAGCCUUUAUCAUCAGUAUUAUAAAAUGAUCAGAUUUAAUUAAAAAAAUUAUUAGCA